AUUGAACGCUGGCGGCAGGCCUAACACAUGCAAGUCGAACGCGUGGCGGACGGGUGAGUAAUGUCUGGGAAACUGCCCGAUGGAGGGGGAUAACUACUGGAAACGGUAGCUAAUACCGCAUACCAUCGGAUGUGCCCAGAUGGGAUUCGCUAGUAGGUGGGGUAACGGCUCACCUAGGCGACGAUCCCUAGCUGGUCUGAGCGGAGGACCAGGCACACUGGAACUGAGACACGGCCCAGACUCGUACGGGAGGGGGCGGUGGAGAGUAUUGCACAAUGGGCGCAGGCCUAAGGCGGCCAUGCCACGUGGAUUGAAAGGGCCGUCGGGUGGUGAAGUACUAUCGGCGAGGAGGCGUUACUCGAAGAAGAAGGACCGGCUAACUCCGUGCCAGCAGCCGCGGUAAUAC
rnacentral:rRNA from 1 species